ACUGAAUCACUGUAGCCUCUCAGAGAGAAGCUGUGAAGCUCUGUCCUCAGUUCUCAGCUCCCAGUCCUCUAGUCUGAGAGAGCUGGACCUGAGAAACAACAACCUGCAGGAUUCAGGACUGAAGUUUCUGUCUGCUGGACUGCAGAGUCCACACUGUACACUACAAACUCUCAGACUUAAUCACUGUGACCUCUCAGGAGGAAGCUGUGAAGCUCUGUCCUCAGUUCUCAGCUCCCAGUCCUCUAGUCUGAGAGAGCUGGAGCUGAGAAACAAUGACCUGCAGGAUUCAGGAGUGAAGCUUCUGUCUGCUGGACUGCAGAGUCCACACUGUACACUGGAAAGUCUCAGGUCAGAUCAAGUAAUAUUUGUUUUUUCAAAAUUAACCAAAGGUUUUAGCCAUUUAAGGUUAUUGUUGUUGGAACCUUGUAAGGAAUUAAGGAUGCAUUAAAAAGAAGAACAACAAGAAAUACCGAAACAGGAUUAAACAUUGAUAAAUCAACUAACUCCUCACUUCACUGUGCAGUGUUUUUUUUUUUGUUUGUUUUUUUUGUGCAUCUUUAUUUUUCAGACUGAAUCACUGUAGCCUCUCAGAGAGAAGCUGUGAAGCUCUGUCCUCAGUUUUUCAGCUCCCAGUCCUCUAGUCUGAGAGAGCUGGACCUGAGAAACAAUGACCUGCAGGAUUCAGGAGCGAAGCUUCUGUCUGCUGGGCUGCAGAGUCCACACUGUACACUACAAACUCUCAGACUGAGUAACUGUAACCUGUCAGAGAGAAGCUGUGAAGCUCUGUCCUCAGUUCUCAGCUUCCAGUCCUCUAGUCUGAGAGAGCUGGACCUGAGUAACAAUGACCUGCAGGAUUCAGGACUGAAGCUUCUGUCUGCUGCAGUGAAGAGUCCACACUGUACGCUGGAAACUCUGAGUCUGUCAGGCUGUCUGAUCACAGAGGAAGGCUGUACUUCUCUGGCCUCAGCUCUGAGCUCCAACCCCUUCCAUCUGAGAGAGCUGGACCUGAGCUACAAUCAUCCAGGAGACUCAGGAAUGAAGCUGCUGUCGGCCGCACUGAAGGAUCCACGCUGGAGACUGGACACUCUCAGGGCGGAGCCUGCUGGAGUGCGAUGGCUGAGACCAGGUCUGAGGAAGU